rnacentral:rRNA from 1 species
CCUACGGGAGGCAGCAGUGGGGAAUAUUGCACAAUGGGGGGAACCCUGAUGCAGCGACGCCGCGUGAGUGAAGAAGUAUUUCGGUAUGUAAAGCUCUAUCAGCAGGGAAGAAAAUGACGGUACCUGACUAAGAAGCCCCGGCUAACUACGUGCCAGCAGCCGCGGUAAUACGUAGGGGGCAAGCGUUAUCCGGAUUUACUGGGUGUAAAGGGAGCGCAGACGGCUGUGCAAGUCUGGAGUGAAAGGCGGGGGCCCAACCCCCGGACUGCUCUGGAAACUGUAAGGCUGGAGGGCAGGAGAGGGAAGCGGAAUUCGUAGUGUAGCGGUGAAAUGCGGAGAUAGUAGGAGGAACACCAGUGGCGAAGGCGGCUUACUGGACGUCAACUGACGUUGAGGCUCGAAAGCGUGGGGAGCAAACAGGAUUAGAUACCCUAGUAGUC